UUUCUCGUAGCUUGGUGGUAAAGCAAUGGUGCGUAAAUCCAAGGAUCCGGGUUCGAUUCCCGGCGAGAGCG
rnacentral:tRNA from 1 species